GAUAUCAGGGGCAAAAGGUCAAAAGGUCGUUCGUGCUUGCACGAUAAGACUUUUGAACUUGGGACCCGCCAAACAUGAGAAAGUAGCGAUUUACGCAGUAAAUCAGCGGAUUUCGAAUGUUUGAGAAUUGUGGGAGCUGCUUUGCAGCGGAGCAAUUCGUGGAUAUC
rnacentral:sRNA from 1 species